GCACAGCAGGCAUGGAUCUGAGGCAAGUGUACUGUUAGGACAGUGACAGGUGGCUUCUGACCCUGCACUCCUGAUAUUCUCUCUUAAGCUUCCUGUUCUUCCUGCAAGACUGCAGGAAUAAGUUUGAUAUGGCAGUAUCUGAAAUGGCCACAAGAUGACUAUGUUGCUUAAAAAGCACCAAAUUCUCUGGGCCCCAUGAGCCUUAAUUUUCUCUAUAUUCUGUGCCCAUUCAUUUGGUUUCUUGGGACUUUUACUCCACUGCCCCCCACCCCCGUCCUUAGAUGGGAUUGAAAUGUUUUGCCUCUUGACAAGGCCUCAUGCUCUUAAUGUAACACUUAGGUUGUAUCAACGCUCACCAACUAAUCCACUAUGCAUUCAGUUUGUUUAUGAGUCAGUAAACAGGAAACUGUCCCCACUGCUAUACAGUAUCUUAAUACCAUUUGAGGAUAUCCCCCUCAUGAGUUUCCUAGGAGCUCCAUGACACUUUCAUACUUGUGUGUCAUGCAUAAUUUCUAAGAGUAAGGAAAGUGAAAAAAAGUUUCUAGCCCUUUCAAGUUUUGAUUCAAGAAAUAUGAAAGGGUUGGGCAUCAGAAUUGGGAGGCUAGAGGCAGGAGGAUCCGUAGUUUCUGACUAGUCUUGGCUAAGCUGCAUAGGUGUUGUUUGCUGUAGAGGGAGAGGAAGAGUAGGGUCCCAACAAGUAUAGACUAGUAUCUAAACUAGUAAGACUAGUUUAGAUAAAAAGAGUCAUGCUGUGAGCUAGUUCCCAAGGUAAAGUGUGAACACUCUGCUCCUUUACAACAGAAUCCUGCUGUGGCUGUGGAGCCUCUGAACCAUGUAUCUGUGGAAGCCGACAUUUCAGGCAUGAAAUGAGU
rnacentral:lncRNA from 1 species